rnacentral:snRNA from 1 species
AGAAGAAGAAGAAGCUGGCUAGGCGGGUGUCUCCUUCCUCCCUCACCGCUCCAGGUGUCCCUCCCGAAGCUGCGCACUAGGUCAAAGAUGACAGCCUUCUUCAAAUAGAGACGGACCGGUCUUCGGUCAAGGGUAUACGAGUAGCUGUGCUCCCCUGCUAGAACCUCCAAACAAGCUAUCAGGGUAUCUUUCCUUCUGUAUCUACUCUUUCUCAUUCAAAUAAAAUUGAUAUAUAUGAAAAAGAAAAACGGGGAGGGGAAAAUGCCAAAAACCACACUGCUAGU